UACGUAGGGGGCAAGCGUUGUCCGGAUUUAUUGGGCGUAAAGAGCGUGUAGGCGGCCGUACAGGUCAGCUGUGAAAACUCGAGGCUCAACCUCGAGACGUCGGUUGAAACCGUACGGCUAGAGUCCGGAAGAGGAGAGUGGAAUUCCCGGUGUAGCGGUGAAAUGCGCAGAUAUCAGGAAGAACACCUAUGGCGAAGGCAGCUCUCUGGGACGGUACUGACGCUGAGACGCGAAAGCGUGGGGAGCGAACAGG
rnacentral:rRNA from 1 species